UUUAUUGAUUCUUCGAUAAAAACUUGAUUAUAUUGUGCAGCGCGAGGGAAGAUCACAUCUUUCGGUCCAAUUGAAACGGAGGCCACAUUACCUGCCCCAAGUACUUAAACUAUUGUGACGCCACCCGCCCCCUCCCCGCCCAUUGGCCCUGUCCGCCGCCAGCGAAGAUACCGAAAAUGGUGGACGCUGCCAGACAAAUGCUCGAUGAGCUAAUGGGCCGCAAUCGGAACCUGCAUCCAUCGGAGGCAGGACUCAAGGUGAACUGGGAGGAUCCAGAGUUUUGUCAGUUUUACAACGUGAAGUUCUGCCCGCACGAUCUCUUCAUCAACACACGGGCCGAUCUCGGUCCCUGCGCCCGCAUUCACGACGAGGAGGCCAAGCACCUGUACGAGGAGGCGCGUCCGGCACGGAAGCGCCAGUACGAGGAUGAGUUUCUUCGCUUCUGCAACGUGAUGCUACACGACGUGGACCGGAAGAUUCAGAAGGGUAAGCAGCGUCUGCAACUAAUGCAGCGAGAUCACCCGCCACCGACGCUGCAAUUGAGCAAGCAUCAGGACCAGUUGAACACCCUGAAUGCCCGCAUUAACAAGCUGCUGGCGGAAGCCGAAGAGGCUGGUAUCCGCGGUGACGUUGACCAGGCCCAGGAUCUGAUGACGCUCUGCGAGGAGGUCAAAGAAGAGAAGGAGCAGCUUCUGCAGCAGUACGAUGCCAGCCGAAAGGCAAGCAGCAAGAUGAUCGCCCCGGACCCGUCCAGUGCGGACGAUCCCAUACACAGUCCAAGAACAAGCUUCUGCGAUGUCCCAGUGAUCCACGACAGCACACAAGCCCCAACUCCAACUAGAACAAUAAACCCAGCCCCCAUUGAUUUGGCCGGCGAAGCAGCAGUAGUAGCACCAGCAGCAGCCUCCCCAACCGAAGUGGACCUAGAAACCACUGGAUGUAAAGCAGGCCCUGGAUCAGGAGCAGAUGGGGAGGAGAAGUCGGACAAUACAGACAACAAGUCUCAGUCAAAUUGGUCACACGAAGCCCUGCCCGAGAAGCAAAUGAAGGUGUGCGAGAUUUGCGGUGCCUUUCUGAUUGUGGGCGAUGCUCAGCAGCGAAUUGAAGACCAUCUGAUGGGCAAGCAACACCUGGGAUACUCUAAGGUGCGCAACGCGGUGGCCGAAAUCAACGACGAGCGGCAGAAGGAGCGCGACCAGGAGCGCGAGCAGGAACGCGAGCAGGAGGAACGAAGACGGCGCGAGGGUCGGGGCCAGCGCUUUAACUCAUACGACAAUAGACGCGAGCCGCGCGAAUAUCGGGAGCGCAGUCGUGACUAUGUGCAGAGCCGCCAGACCUCAGACAGGCGACAUCAUCACCACAAGUCGCACCACGGCCACACAUACUCGCGCAACGGCAGCAAUAGCAACAACAACAACCGUAGCAGACAGCACAACCACAGUCAUAGCCACUAUCGGCAAGAGAGCCGCGAGCGGCACGCUCGUAGUCGCAGCCGCAGUCGCUACUAGAGACCAAAAACGAUAAGAUGGCUAGCGCUUAAGCUGAAACUCUAGGCCAGAAGCCGAAGCAACACGAGCUCAGCCGUAUCCGCGAUCCUUGUAGCUAACCCAAUGUACCCAACGUAUCCACGCAUCCACAACAAGCACCUGGCAAUGUGCCUGAGUCUUCGUCCCUUCCUCAUCGCUGCUGCAACCGCAACCCAACCCGAAAGAGAAACCGAAACCGAAGAACGAACAACACCAUCGAGGUACUCCAAAAAUAAUUAACAAAAUUUCAAGUAAUAUGUAUCAGAACAGUAAAAAAAGAAACAGAAUCAGAGUGAAUGAGAGUGCAGCUGGCAGGCGAGAUAAGAUCCUUGCCAGAGCAAGGUAAAUAAGGAGCCGGAACAUUCGGAAUACUCUGGAUCUGGCUUUGGAUGUGGAUCUGUGGUCAAUAGAGAGAAAGAUAUAUAUAUAUAUAUAUAGAUAGAAAGAAGAACCAACCAGGUAACUUCUAUGCCACACCUCCCCCACAUAAAUGUUUCUUCACGACAGACAAGGCAGCGCGUCGCACUAUCUACAUAUUGAAUAUGCGCUAUGAACAGAACAUACUCUGCAAUCUACGACCAACGAUCCACCAUUCUCUGAUCCCGGAAGAGAGACUCGCGUAGAACUUUAUUAGGCUUGAGACAUACGAGGUGAAUUUCUUUUUCUCUCAUCUAUAACUAUCUAUAGCCCUCGACUCUGACCCCGUUCACUGAUCCUUACCACGCAUCUCCAGUCCGUCAGUCUCUCUGUCUAUUGGGACCACCCUUUAACUCUUAAUUCAAAACAUAUAUAGAUACACACAUCUUUAGAUACACACAUAUAUAAGGAUCAUGCACAUAUAUGUAUGUAUGCAUGUACAUAUUUGACUUUGUGUUCCUAUUCCUAACGAGCAGCCUUCACAGUCGGAUCCGGAACCCCAUGAUCCACGAUCUCAUUAUGGAGUGAGUCUAUAGGCUGAAAGCCCCUUCCUUUCCGGCCUCCCCGAUCUGGAGAGCUUGCGAAUGCCUUUUUCAUACCUAACUACUUUUUCCCAUUUCGGUUACGAUGAAUUAGAAAACCAAUCAAUUCAAUUGAGUCCCCCACCCCCAGCCCACCCUUCCGUGGCAAAGCGCAGUCAUAUUCCUGUCCUUAGAGGAAAGAUCAAGUUUUUUUUCAGGACAAUUUUGUAGAGCCUAACGAAUCAUAAUUAUUUAUCUAUCUAUCGAUCGAAAGCCUGUAGUCAUGUAAAGAUGUUUUUAAGUAUGAUUUACGUACGCUAUGAGUAAGGAUACAACAUUCUAAAUAGUGAGACUCGCAAUAAUUUUCUAAUAAAGAUCAAAGCAAAUCCCGAAAAGGUC